rnacentral:rRNA from 1 species
UACGUAGGUGGCAAGCGUUGUCCGGAUUUACUGGGCGUAAAGAGCGCGCAGGCGGUCGUUCAAGUCGCGUGUGAAAGCCCCCGGCUCAACUGGGGAGGGUCACGCGAUACUGAUCGACUGGAAGGCAGGAGAGGGUAGUGGAAUUCCCGGUGUAGUGGUGAAAUGCGUAGAUAUCGGGAGGAACACCUGUGGCGAAAGCGGCGCACUGGACCACAACUGACGCUGAGGCGCGAAAGCUAGGGGAGCAAACAGG